rnacentral:rRNA from 1 species
UACAGAGGCCUCGAGCGUUAGGCGGAAUCACUGGGCUUAAAGCGUGUGUAGGCGGACUUCUAAGUACCUUGUGAAAUCCCACGGCUCACCCGUGGAGCUGCUGGGUAUACUGGUCGUCUUGAGCCUUCUAGGGGCUACCGGAACAAAUGGUGGAGCGGUGAAAUGCGUAGAUAUCGGAAGGAACAUCAGUGGCGAAAGCGGCUUCCUGGACCAGUACCGACGUUCAGGCACGAAAGCGUGGGGAGCAAACAGG